UACGUAGGGUGCGAGCGUUGCCCGGAUUUAUUGGGCGUAAAGGGCGCGCAGGCGGCUACGCACGUCCGUUGUGAAAUCGCCCGGCUCAACUGUGCGGGGUCAGCGGAUACGGCGUAGCUGGAGCAAGCUAGGGGGCAAUGGAAUUCCCGGUGUAGUGGUGGAAUGCGUAGAUAUCGGGAGGAACACCAGUGGCGAAGGCGGUUGCCUGGAGCUUUGCUGACGCUGAGGCGCGAAAGCGUGGGGAGCGAUCCGG
rnacentral:rRNA from 1 species